CCUACGGGUGGCAGCAGUGGGGGAUAUUGCACAAUGGGGGAAACCCUGAUGCAGCGACGCCGCGUGAGUGAAGAAGUAUUUCGGUAUGUAAAGCUCUAUCAGCAGGGAAGAAAAUGACAGUACCUGACCAAGAAGCCCCGGCUAACUACGUGCCAGCAGCCGCGGUAAUACGUAGGGGGCAAGCGUUAUCCGGAUUUACUGGGUGUAAAGGGAGCGUAGACGGCAGCACAAGUCUGGAGUGAAAUGCCGGGGCCCAACCCCGGGACUGCUCUGGAAACUAUUGAACUUGAGUGCAGGAGAGGUAAGCGGAAUUCCUAGUGUAGCGGUGAAAUGCGUAGAUAUUAGGAGGAACACCAGUGGCGAAGGCGGCUUACUGGACUGUAACUGACGUUGAGGCUCGAAAGCGUGGGGAGCAAACAGGAUUAGAUACCCUUGUAGUC
rnacentral:rRNA from 1 species